AAAAUAACCCAAUCAAAUGAAAAAAAAAAAGUACUUUCUUCAUCAUAUAAUAACAAUAGAAAAAAAGAUUGUAAGAGGAUGGUGGGUGUCGACGAUUUUGGAGAAGGGUUGCCGGCGUUAGGGUAAGGUUCACCGGAUUAAAUAAAGUGGGUGUAGAGAAGAAUUUUUGCUAUUUGUGUUUGGGUUUAUAAAAUUGUUUUUGUUUUUUUAAUUUAUUUAAGGGUGAAUUUGAAAGUUUGGUAGACUAAAUUUUCUAGUUGGAUGUAAAAAUAAGAUAUUUGGAUUCAAAUUAAAUUUCUCUUUGUUUAAUAAAAAUCAGUUAAAUAAAAAUAAAAACAGAAAAAUAAAUAAACAAAGGACAAAAAACUUGACGAAGGUGAAAUGUCUCCUUCCCCGACGACCGAUCCCCAUCCCUAACGACAACUCGCUUCCUAUCUAUUGUUAACUACAUUGGAAAAAUUAAAGAGUAGUGAAGAAUUGAGAAGAUGAAGAGCUAGAGAGCCAACAAAGAAGAAAUGAAAUGAUCCUUAUUAUCAAAAGACUUGAAGGAGUUGCAAUAUGAUUCGCCACUCAGUUAU
rnacentral:lncRNA from 1 species